rnacentral:snRNA from 1 species
GGGCAAUCUGGCUAUGACAUUUGUCACCUAAGUGAUCUCCAGUGUUAAUUCAUCUGAUCUGGCUGGCCAGGCAGGUGUCCCCUUCUUGGUGAUCCUUCCUGAAGCUGCCCACCUCUUGGAAGAAAACCUUCCCCUUACAGAGCAGGGCCAUCAUCCUAUCAAGGGCAUAGAGAAGAUGCCCUCUCCUGCUAGACCCUCUGAACAUAGAUCUGGAUGUGGGGGAGGAUUGCCUUGGAGGUUUCUUACACGCAACCCUAGCUGCUCUGAUGAUGUU